rnacentral:rRNA from 1 species
GGUCAGGAUGAACGCUGGCGGCGUGCCUAACACAUGCAAGCCGAACGGGUUAAGGGAAAUUUCGGAUGGAACUUAACUAGUGGCGGACGGGUGAGUAACGCGUGGAUAACCUGCCUCACACUGGGGGAUAGCAGCUGGAAACGGCUGGUAAUACCGCAUAAGACCACAGCACCGCAUGGUGCAGGGGUAAAAGAUUUAUCGGUGUGAGAUGGAUCCGCGUCUGAUUAGCCAGUUGGCGGGGUAACGGCCCACCAAAGCGACGAUCAGUAGCCGGCCUGAGAGGGUGAACGGCCACAUUGGGACUGAGACACGGCCCAAACUCCUACGGGAGGCAGCAGUGGGGAAUAUUGCACAAUGGGCGCAAGCCUGAUGCAGCCAACGCCGCGUGAGUGAAGAAGUAUUUCGGUAUGUAAAGCUCUAUCGGCAGGGAAGAAAGGCCCGAAAGGGAGAUGACGGUACCUGACUAAGAAGCCCCGGCUAACUACGUGCCAGCCGCGGC